rnacentral:rRNA from 1 species
ACGGGAGGCAGCAGUGGGGAAUAUUGGACAAUGGGGGAAACCCUGAUACAGCGACGCCGCGUGAGUGAAGAAGUAUUUCGGUAUGUAAAGCUCUAUCAGCAAGAAAGAAAAUGACGGUACUUGACUAAGAAGCCCCGGCUAACUACAUGCCAGCAGCCGCGGUAAUACGUAGGGGGCAAGCGUUAUCCGGAUUUACUGGGUGUAAAGGGAGCGUAGACGGUAUUGCAAGUCUGAAGUGAAAGGCGGGGGCUCAACCCCUGGACUGCUUUGGAAACUGUAGUACUAGAGUGCAGGAGAGGUAAGUGGAAUUCCUAGUGUAGCGGUGAAAUGCGUAGAUAUUAGGAGGAACACCAGUGGCGAAGGCGGCUUACUGGACUGUAACUGACGUUGAGGCUCGAAAGCGUGGGGAGCAAACAGGAUUAGAUACCCUGGUA